rnacentral:rRNA from 1 species
AACGUAGGUACCGAGCGUUAUCCGGAUUUACUGGGCGUAAAGCGCGUUCAGGCGGUUUGACAAGUCGGGCAUGAAAUCUCUCGGCUCAACCGGGAGAGGUUGUCCGAUACUGUCAGACUUGAGGGCAGUAGAGGGUGGUGGAAUUCCGGGUGUAGUGGUGAAAUGCGUAGAUAUCCGGAGGAACACCAGGGGCGAAAGCGGCCACCUGGACUGUACCUGACGCUCAAACGCGAAAGCUAGGGGAGCGAACAGG